rnacentral:rRNA from 1 species
UACGUAGGUCCCGAGCGUUGUCCGGAUUUAUUGGGCGUAAAGCGAGCGCAGGUGGUUUAUUAAGUCUGGUGUAAAAGGCAGUGGCUCAACCAUUGUAUGCAUUGGAAACUGGUAGACUUGAGUGCAGGAGAGGAGAGUGGAAUUCCAUGUGUAGCGGUGAAAUGCGUAGAUAUAUGGAGGAACACCGGUGGCGAAAGCGGCUCUCUGGCAUGUAACUGACACUGAGGCUCGAAAGCGUGGGGAGCAAACAGG